AACGAACGCUGGCGGUGUGCCUAACACAUGCAAGUCGCGCGAGAAAGUGGGGGCAACCCCGCGAGUAAAGCGGCGCACGGGUGAGUAAUACGUAGGUAACCUACCUUCGAGACCGGGAUAACCUUCUGAAAGGAGGGCUAAUACUGGAUAAGACCACGGAGCCUCGGCUCUGGGGUUACAGGUGGCCUCUGCUCGCAAGCUACCACUAGAGGAUGGGCCUGGGCACCAUUAGCUAGUUGGUGAGGUAACGGCUCACCAAGGCGAAGAUGGUUAGCUGAUCUGGGAGGAUGAUCAGCCACACUGGGACUGAGACACGGGCCAGUCUCCUACGGGAGGCAGCAGUGGGGAAUCUUGGACAAUGGGGGAAACCCUGAUCCAGCGACGCCGCGUGGGUGAUGAAGGCCUUCGGGUCGUAAAGCCCUGUCGGGGGGGAAGAAACUCUUGCCGGUGAACAAUCGGCGAGAUUGACGGUAACCACUAAGGAAGCACCGGCUAACUCCGUGCCAGCCGCCGCUGUAAAAC
rnacentral:rRNA from 1 species